rnacentral:rRNA from 1 species
CAGUCGAGGGGUAUAGUUCUUCGGAAUUAGAGACCGGCGCACGGGUGCGUAACGCGUAUGCAAUCUACCUUUUACAGAGGGAUAGCCCAGAGAAAUUUGGAUUAAUACCUCAUAGUAUAGCAGUUUCGCAUGAAACCACUAUUAAAGUCACAACGGUAAAAGAUGAGCAUGCGUCCCAUUAGCUAGUUGGUAAGGUAACGGCUUACCAAGGCUACGAUGGGUAGGGGUCCUGAGAGGGAGAUCCCCCACACUGGUACUGAGACACGGACCAGACUCCUACGGGAGGCAGCAGUGAGGAAUAUUGGACAAUGGGCGCAAGCCUGAUCCAGCCAUGCCGCGUGCAGGAUGACGGUCCUAUGGAUUGUAAACUGCUUUUAUACAGGAAGAAACCCUGGUUCGUGAACCAGCUUGACGGUACUGUAAGAAUAAGGAUCGGCUAACUCCGUGCCAGCAGCCGCGGUAAUACGGAGGAUCCAAGCGUUAUCCGGAAUCAUUGGGUUUAAAGGGUCCGUAGGCGGUUUAAUAAGUCAGUGGUGAAAGCCCAUCGCUCAACGGUGGAACGGCCAUUGAUACUGUUAAACUUGAAUUAUUAGGAAGUAACUAGAAUAUGUAGUGUAGCGGUGAAAUGCUUAGAGAUUACAUGGAAUACCAAUUGCGAAGGCAGGUUACUACUAAUGGAUUGACGCUGAUGGACGAAAG